rnacentral:rRNA from 1 species
UGGGGAAUAUUGCACAAUGGGCGAAAGCCUGAUGCAGCGACGCCGCGUGCGGGAUGACGGCCUUCGGGUUGUAAACCGCUUUCGGCAGGGAAGAAGCCGUAAGGUGACGGUACCUGCAGAAGAAGCGCCGGCUAACUACGUGCCAGCAGCCGCGGUAAUACGUAGGGCGCAAGCGUUGUCCGGAAUUAUUGGGCGUAAAGAGCUCGUAGGCGGUUCGUCGCGCCUGCUGUGAAAUCCUCAGGCUCAACCUGGGGCGUGCAGUGGGUACGGGCGUACUGGAGUGCGGUAGGGGUGACUGGAAUUCCUGGUGUAGCGGUGGAAUGCGCAGAUAUCAGGAGGAACACCGAUGGCGAAGGCAGGUCACUGGGCCGCAACUGACGCUGAGGAGCGAAAGCAUGGGGAGCGAACA